GCCGCCCGCUUUCUUCUUGCCUAAUACAUGCAAGUCGAGCGAACGGACGAGAAGCUUGCUUCUCUGAUGUUAGCGGCGGACGGGUGAGUAACACGUGGAUAACCUACCUAUAAGACUGGGAUAACUUCGGGAAACCGGAGCUAAUACCGGAUAAUAUUUUGAACCGCAUGGUUCAAAAGUGAAAGACGGUCUUGCUGUCACUUAUAGAUGGAUCCGCGCUGCAUUAGCUAGUUGGUAAGGUAACGGCUUACCAAGGCAACGAUGCAUAGCCGACCUGAGAGGGUGAUCGGCCACCCUGGAACUGAGACACGGUCCAGACUCCUACGGGAGGCAGCAGUAGGGAAUCUUCCGCAAUGGGCGAAAGCCUGACGGAGCAACGCCGCGUGAGUGAUGAAGGUCUUCGGAUCGUAAAACUCUGUUAUUAGGGAAGAACAUAUGUGUAAGUAACUGUGCACAGCUUGACGGUACCUAAUCAGAAAGCCACGGCUAACUACGUG
rnacentral:rRNA from 1 species